rnacentral:rRNA from 1 species
CGUAGGUGGCAAGCGUUGUCCGGAAUUAUUGGGCGUAAAGCGCGCGCAGGCGGUUCCUUAAGUCUGAUGUGAAAGCCCCCGGCUCAACCGGGGAAGGUCAUUGGAAACUGGGGAACUUGAGUGCAGAAGAGAAGAGCGGAAUUCCACGUGUAGCGGUGAGAUGCGUAGAGAUGUGGAGGAACACCAGUGGCGAAGGCGGCUCUUUGGUCUGUAACUGACGCUGAGGCGCGAAAGCGUGGGGAGCAAACAGGAUUAGAUACCCUGGUAGUCCACGCCGUAAACGAUGAGUGCUAAGUGUUAGAGGGUUUCCGCCCUUUAGUGCUGCAGCUAACGCAUUAAGCACUCCGCCUGGGGAGUACGGCCGCAAGGCUG